AUUGAACGCUGGCGGCAUGCUUUACACAUGCAAGUCGAACGGCAGCGCGGGCUUCGGCCUGGCGGCGAGUGGCGAACGGGCGAGUAAUGCAUCGGAACGUGCCCAGUAGUGGGGGAUAGCCCGGCGAAAGCCGGAUUAAUACCGCAUACGACCUGAGGGUGAAAGCGGGGGACCGAAAGGCCUCGCGCUAUUGGAGCGGACGAUGUCGGAUUAGCUAGUUGGUGGGGUAAAGGCUUACCAAGGCGACGAUCCGUAGCUGGUCUGAGAGGACGACCAGCCACACUGGGACUGAGACACGGCCCAGACUCCUACGGGAGGCAGCAGUGGGGAAUUUUGGACAAUGGGGGCAACCCUGAUCCAGCCAUGCCGCGUGCGGGAAGAAGGCCUUCGGGUUGUAAACCGCUUUUGUUCGGGAAGAAAUCCUCUGGGCUAAUACCCCGGGGGGAUGACGGUACCGGAAGAAUAAGCACCGGCUAACUACGUG
rnacentral:rRNA from 1 species